rnacentral:rRNA from 1 species
CAUUGACUGGAACGCGCCCCAGGCGCACCCAGAAACCCUUUGUGAACUUAUACCUUACUGUUGCCUCGGCGCAUGCCGGCCCCCAGGGGCCCCUCGGAGACGAGGAGCAGGCACGCCGGCGGCCAACCUAACUCUUGUUUUUACACUGAAACUCUGAGAAAAAAAACAAAAUGAAUCAAAACUUUCAACAACGGAUCUCUUGGUUCUGGCAUCGAUGAAGAACGCAGCGAAAUGCGAUAAGUAAUGUGAAUUGCAGAAUUCAGUGAAUCAUCGAAUCUUUGAACGCACAUUGCGCCCUCCGGUAUUCCGGAGGGCAUGCCUGUUCGAGCGUCAUUUCAACCCUCAAGCACUGCUUGGUGUUGGGGCACUGCUCCUCUCGCGGGGAGCAGGCCCUGAAAUUCAGUGGCGAGCUCGCCAGGACCCCGAGCGCAGUAGUUAAACCCUCGCUCUGGAAGGCCCUGGCGGUGCCCUGCCGUUAAACCCCCAACUCUUGAAAAUUUGACCUCGGAUCAGGUAGGAAUACCCGCUGAACUUAAGCAUAUCAAUAAGCGGAGGA